rnacentral:rRNA from 1 species
UCUGAAUCUGCGUACGGCUCCGCAAACCAGUUGUAAACUAUAGCAAGCAGGCUCGGGGUCGGCUCUCACGGGCUGGCUUCGGGCGAUAUGGAUAACCCUGGUAAUUCUGAGGCUAAUACAUGAACGUAAAACCUGGUUGACUGGGCUUCGGUCUGGGAGGCUGGGGGAUGUGUGAUUGCAGGCUUGGGUAACACCGGGAAAGGGCGCACGUCCAGACCGCGCUAUAAAGGAUGGGACCUCUUCGGGGGACCCGCCCCAGCGGCUCUUGCUGUGUGCUUCUGACCUAUCAACUAGACGGCAGCGUAACGGA